AUUGCCCUCCAUGCUGCAGCCACCCAAACGGGGCCGCUUGUACUUUUGGGGGCCAGGGCCUGAUCCCUGGCUGGGGGAAGGGGACUCUGCUCUCCUGACGCUCAUUUUCCCCCGCCCUCCCGGGGUUUGCCCUACUCGGGGGGUCAGAAGACAGGAGAUUGGCGGCCAUUUUAGACGCAGUAACCGAGAGUCUGCACCCUUAUUUAGAUAACCAAGUUAGGAGGAAGACUUAAGAAUUCUUCGCUGCUGCUGCCUUACCGCCGAGAACCACCACCCGCCAGGCGUCUUGCGGCCACACCCCUGGCGGGUUCAGGCAGGCUACGCCCACGCGACCCCUCCCGUUUCCCUGCUUUGGCCAAUGGAGGAGCUACGAAUGGCACGACCUGCUCGAGCUUGGCAGUCUCCAGUUGGGCUGUGCAUGGAAGCUUGGGAAGACUUUGUUGGAAGGGGAGGCGGGGAGAGAGUGCUGGAGGCUCUGGGGCGAUGGCUUCCGCACCUCUUCCAACCACCCUCUUUCCCUGGAGUCGGCGGACCACAGCUCAGCCAAUUGGCUUGGAGAUGUGGCGGGGUGGC
rnacentral:lncRNA from 1 species